UGGGUUUGUUGGUCAACUCUUCCCGGACGUGAUUACGAGGUGAAAUCCGGUUGAUUAAGUUGAUCCAAACGCUUCAAUAUAUACGUCCGAGUCCAGAUCAGGGAGAGAAUGCAAGUGCCUUCAGCUGCCUUCAAAAUAAUCCAAGGGGCCAGUGCCUUUUUCCUUUGAAGUGUUUGGACUUCUUGGGAGAUGGCUAACCUUGUGGCGAUGAACAUGAAGAGGAAGGAUGCUGAGGUGGCCGGCCAUGGAUUCUCCAUCUUUCUUGAUCCCAAGAGGAUCAAAUUACAGGUACGGCAGCUGGAUGCCGAAAUUCCGGAAAUGAUGGAAGAAGAGGAACCACUGGCAGAUGCUCCACCAGCUAAUGUGCAUCCAACCAUAUUCAUGCCCUCACUGUCGCUAGCGCUGCCAACUCAGGGGCAAGAAGCUAUCCAUGGCAACACCAUGAGCACUACAUCUAGGAGCAAAUGUUCAGAACCACCAUUCAGCAAAGAAGACCAGGCAGCACCAAUGGAUGUCGAGGUGGACAUCCGGUAAUGCCAGGCCCUGGCGCAGCCGGGGCAGCACACCCCUUUCUUUUCAGGUUUCUUCUGAUGAGUGGCACUCAGCUGAAUCCUCUGGUCAGCAAUCGUGGAAGUCAUGCAACAUAUGCUGCUCUUCAGCCUUCACCAUCCUCCUGGAUCAGUACAUGUUGCUAUGAAUUUGAAUCACGGUGUAACUGCAUAGACUACAGAGACCGUCCUGCAUUUCAAACUGUACAAUGUAUGCUAAUAUUCAGUCCACCACCACCACCUAUAGAUCGGAACAUGUUUUACUAUGUAUGCUGAAGCAUGCGGUGAACCACGAUUUUUCUUUUUACACAGGAUUGAAACAAAGAUCUUAUCUCUAUUCAAA